rnacentral:rRNA from 1 species
UACGUAGGGUGCAAGCGUUGUCCGGAAUUAUUGGGCGUAAAGGGCGCGUAGGCGGCUUUGCAAGUGACGGGUGAAAUCCCUCGGCUUAACCGAGGAACUGCCUGUCAAACUGCAUGGCUUGAGACCGGGAGAGGUGAGUGGAAUUCCCAGUGUAGCGGUGAAAUGCGUAGAUAUUGGGAGGAACACCAGUGGCGAAGGCGGCUCACUGGACCGGUACUGACGCUGAUGCGCGAAAGCGUGGGGAGCAAACAGG